rnacentral:rRNA from 1 species
GGUUAUGGCCAUACCACCCUGAACACGCCCCAUCUUGUCUGAUCUCAGAAGCCGAGCAGGGUCAUGCCCAGUUAGUACUUAGAUGCAAAAAACACUUGACACAUGCAUUCCAGGGCCACAUCACAU